CCUCCCCGCCAUCUGCCUCCCCGUCCACCUCCCCGUCUGCAUCCCAUCCGCCUCCCUUCCGCCCUGCCAUCCCCUCUAGGAAAUUUGUCAAUUUCAUGUGAAUUUUUGUACUAAAUUUUUUUGGAAUGAGGCAAGAGUUUUAAGGGACUUUCUUUGUUUUAUUGCAGAUGAACAUCCAGGUGACCCAGAGUCAUUUCUGGAAAGAGUAUUUUUUUCCCCCUUGAAUUGCAUCAGCACCUUUGUCAAGCCAGCUGACUGCACCUGAGCAGGUCUGUUUCUGGAAUCUGCUCUUUCCAGUUCAUCUGUUGGUCUGUUAUAGCCAUGAUAUAUCACUCUUGAUCAGCAUUACUUAAAAUAAUCUUGGAAUCAUGCAGUAGCAAUUCUCCACCCUUGUUCGUUUUCAUGCUUGCUCUGGAUAAGUCCUAUACAUUUCUAUACAAAUUUUAGAAUUAGCUUGAAUGCUCAUUUCUACUAAAAACAUUUUAGGGGUUUGACUGGGACUGUGCUGAUUCUGCAGGUUGGCUUGGGGAGAUCGGCCUCUUGAUGAUUCUGACAAUACAGGGUCUCCACUCCAUGACCUCAGUGUUCCUUCAUUUAUUUGGCUCUUAUUUAAUUUCUCUCAGCAAUGUUUUCACACUCUAAGCCUAUGGGUCUUGUGUGAACCUUUUGUCAGAUUUAUUUCUAAGUAUUGAUGUGUCUAGUUUUGCCUUUUGAAUGAAUUGCCGCUUCAUAAGAAGCUGCGCAGCGGUGCCGAGAGGUCCCACACACCCGCUGCUGGGUGUCCGCAGGUGGUGGGAGCUUACUUGACAAGAGCAACUGCUCAAAACCAGGAGCUUUAUGUGGUUAGCACUGUUAACUAGACUAGUUAGUACAGGUAACACCAGUAACUAUGCCAGUUAGCACCGUUAACUGGACUAGUUAGCACAGGCAACACCAUUAAAUAGACUAGUCGACGCGGUUACUAGGCUAUUUAGGACAGUCAGCACCGUUAACCAGACCGGCUAGCACAGCCCGCACAGCUGCGAGACUACGGGGCUCACGGGGCCGCCGGCCUUGGCAGGGUUGCGCGCUCCUUUAGGGUGUCUCGUGCAGGGAUCCCACGACGUGUGGGCCCUGAAGCCGUGUUCAGGACGUGACGCUUACAUCCCCGCAGAGGACUCCUUCAUGCUGUUCCUCCCCAGCCCUUGGCUUCUCCUCCACCACGAUGACUCGUCAUUUCAGGAGCAUAGCGUAGCUGCAGUACACUGGUUCCAGGAUGGGCCAGGGCGUGUUUAACCACGGAGGACACGCAGGUGUUUCUGGGCUGCAGCUGUCACAGGUAAGGCUGCUGUGAACGUUUGAGUAUAGACUUUUUUGUGAAUGCAAAUUUUUGUUUCUCCAGGAUAACCCCGGAGAGCAGUUGUGGGUUGUAUGGUAGAUAUAUAUUUAACUUUUUAAGGAAACUUUGAGACAAACAGAAUGGAUGGAGGUGAGUCAAAUGUGGCGGGGUGGGGAGGGGGCGGGAGGACGUAGGACCAAAUUUAGGGAAAAGAGUCUUGGAAUUUUCCUUUCAAAAAUCCAUUUGUAAAAAGAAAUAGACCUACUAUAUAUGGUCAAUCAAUUUUCAACAAAGGUGCCAAGACAAUGGAAAGGGAAAAGAAAGCUUUUUCAACAAAUACUGUUGGAUCCACUGGAUGUCCUUAUAGGGAGAAAAACGUGUCCUUUCUCUCAUACAGCACACACACAGCUCAGAUGGGUUAGACAUAAACGUGAAUUCUAAACCCGUGAACCUUCUGCAAGGAAACACAGGAGACAGCCUUUCACUUGGGGCAGGCAAAGAUUUCUUAGAACACAGAAAGCAUGAAAUAAUCAUAGAAAUUGAUCAAUUGGGCUUCGUUGCUAUUAAAAACUCCUCCUAUUAAGAAAAAGACAAAGGACAGAAACCUACGCAGCCCUGCCACCCAGCCAUCCCACCCUUUGAUGUUCACUCAGGAAACAAAACGUGUGUCCACACCAAGAUGUGAACAAGAAGCUUCCUUCGGAAUCGCUGAAGCCGUGAGCAGACCACGUCUCCCAUCUGGUGACACGUCUGCCUCACGGAGCACGGGGCUGCUCAGAAAUAAACAGGGAAGAAGCACACAGAAGGACAGAAGAGUCACACAGCGCCGAGCGGGCCAUCCACUGAGGAGCUGGGCACCCAUGAGCUGAGGACUCGGCAGACUUGGGGUACAGGGCCUGCUGCCCAUCUUCUCCCCAUGUGAGGGGAAGACUGAGCUGGAGCCUCAGGCCCCUGGAAGCUUGCCUGCCCUUCCUUCCUUCCUUGGGGUCACAAUGGUGUCCCCCACCUGGACGCGCAGCUGCCCUGCUGGCUGGCCUGGAGGCCCCCGGCUCCUCCCUGGGGAGAGGGUGCCCUUACUCUCGACUGUGAUAUCAAUGUUCCUAUAGAACACCUUUCCAGCUUUCUCAGUGA